GCGUCGGUAGUUCAGUGGUAGAAUACUCGCCUGCCACGCGGGUGACCCGGGUUUGAUUCCCGGCUGACGCA
rnacentral:tRNA from 1 species